rnacentral:rRNA from 1 species
CACGUAGGGCGCAAGCGUUGUCCGGAAUUAUUGGGCGUAAAGCGCGCGUAGGCGGCUCGGAAAGUCGGUCGUGAAAUGCCGGGGCUCAACCCCGGGACUGCGUCCGAUACUUCCGGGCUGGAGGUAGGUAGGGGAGAUCGGAAUUCCUGGUGUAGCGGUGAAAUGCGCAGAUACCAGGAGGAACACCGGUGGCGAAGGCGGAUCUCUGGGCCUUACCUGACGCUGAGGCGCGAAAGCUAGGGGAGCGAACAGG